rnacentral:rRNA from 1 species
GACGAACGCUGGCGGCGUGCUUAACACAUGCAAGUCGAACGGAAAGGCCCUGCUUUUGUGGGGUGCUCGAGUGGCGAACGGGUGAGUAACACGUGAGUAACCUGCCCUUGACUUUGGGAUAACUUCAGGAAACUGGGGCUAAUACCGGCUAGGAGCUCCUGCUGCAUGGUGGGGGUUGGAAAGUUUCGGCGGUUGGGGAUGGACUCGCGGCUUAUCAGCUUGUUGGUGGGGUAGUGGCUUACCAAGGCUUUGACGGGUAGCCGGCCUGCGCGGGUGACCGGCCACAUUGGGACUGAGAGACGGCCCAGACGCCUACGGGAGGCAGCAGUGGGGAAUAUUGCACAAUGGGCGGAAGCCUGAUGCAGCAACGCCGCGUGCGGGAUGACGGCCUUCGGGUUGUAAACCGCUUUCGCCUGUGACGAAGCGUGAGUGACGGUAAUGGGUAAAGAAGCACCGGCUAACUACGUG